GACAGAGCUUGGAAAAUUGGCUGGUCCCUGGCUCAGCCUGGCAAAGGUGUCUAAUCUUCCUACAGGGUCCUGAGCCUGACGGUCUAAAUACCGAAGCCGUUGCCACACCAUCCCACUGACAAGCCACACAGCUGGGAAAUCUGAAAACCCCUUGGAAGAGAGCAUUCAGAGGGGAAGGAAAUGCUGCAUGAAAUAGCAAGAGGGUUUGCCUCCACAUUCCUGCUUGAAUGCCUACCAGACUUCUCUCAAUGAUGGACCAUGGCCUGAGCUGGUAAGUCAGGACCAGCCUUGUCUUGGAGAGGGGUUCUGAGAGAAAGGGUGUUUGAGAGCAGCAAA